rnacentral:rRNA from 1 species
UACAGAGGGGGCAAGCGUUGUUCGGAAUUACUGGGCGUAAAGGGCGCGUAGGCGGCCUUCUAAGUCAGACGUGAAAUCCCCGGGCUCAACCCGGGAACUGCGUCUGAGACUGGAAGGCUUGAAUCCGGGAGAGGGAUGUGGAAUUCCAGGUGUAGCGGUGAAAUGCGUAGAUAUCUGGAGGAACACCGGUGGCGAAGGCGGCAUCCUGGACCAACACUGACGCUGAGUGAGCGAAAGCCAGGGGAGCAAACGGG